UACGUAGGGUGCAAGCGUUGUCCGGAAUUAUUGGGCGUAAAGAGCUCGUAGGCGGUUCGUCGCGUCGGCUGUGAAAACCUGAGGCUCAACCUCAGGCCUGCAGUCGAUACGGGCGGACUUGAGUACUGCAGGGGAGACUGGAAUUCCUGGUGUAGCGGUGAAAUGCGCAGAUAUCAGGAGGAACACCGGUGGCGAAGGCGGGUCUCUGGGCAGUAACUGACGCUGAGGAGCGAAAGCGUGGGGGAGCGAACAGG
rnacentral:rRNA from 1 species